UCCUAGAGUGGUACAUGCCAAUAAAGGCUCACUCUCUGCCUCGUGGGAGACCCCUGUGCUCUCGGAGGGUCAGCCUAGGGCGUCACUUUCCACAGUCAUCAGAUACACUCUUUAGAUAUAUUAGGGUUCUGUAAUCUCUCUAGUUUCGGACUUAGUGAUGUUAUGAAAUCAAGAGACAUAGAAGUCACGGUACCUAAUCUUUCCAUCCAUCUCAUUGGACAACAAGGAAUUGAUGUCUGAAGAACUGCUGUAGACCACUUAAAUAGUAUUCCAAGUGCUCAGUGGAUCUUCAGGCCCCCCAAGGACCACGGAAAGCUGAGGAUGGAUGCCAAAUGCUGGACUCCUUGAUGACGGAAGAGUAGCAGAAAGACAGGUCUUUGGCCAGGGCAUCUAGGGACAACUUUCUCCCAGCAAUUUCUCUUCAAGACCAAGGGGAAGAAGACAAGGUUUGUAGAUAUUCAAGAUUGGUAAUGUCAAAGAUACUCACUAAGCAACAGGAACAGCUCUCUGGGCAAUGUUCUGACACCAUCCAGUACUCAAGUGAUGCAAGGAUGCUUCCAAAGCCCAGCCAGGGUAGAUGCUUUUAUCAAGAACCUUCCUCCUGAGAGCUACCUUCCUGAGUCAGCAGACUACAGUCCCUCCCCCUAGCCCCUCAUCCCCCGCGGAAAGCAUUCAAGGUGUGUGAGGCCCGGGGACUGUGCUCCGAGCCUUGAGACUGCCUCCAGCUGGCAACUUUACCCCUCGAUGCCUGCCCCAUUCCUACUGCUUCCAGAGAUGGCCUCUCCUCUGGCUUUGGAGAUCAUCAGCUCCAACACUGUUCGGACAGUGAUUCAGACACCAAUCUUCCCUUACCGACCUGAUGAAACUGCUGGUAAAGCACUUACGAAGUAU